rnacentral:lncRNA from 1 species
AUUGGGAAUUCUUGUCAAUUAUGCUAAUUUGCUAAACUUAGAAAAAUGUCGAAGCCCUAUAUCCCUUAUGGUGCACUCCACCAUAAGUGCACCUGGAGCACUGUCAAUAAAUGGUAACUGCUUUUCAUAAUUUCUCACUUGUUUGGCUUGUGAUUUUAGGGCUGAUAAGGCAACAAACCCACUAAUACUGCUUCCUUUUUUGUGCCUUUGCAGGGGAAGAAGUUUAGCUUUGGGAAGAUUCUCUUCAGCAACACCACCAUUUUCCUGAGAUUUGAAGGAGAUGAAAAAGCUUGUGAACCCUCCCAGGGUUUCAAUGUUACUUGGUACUUAAGAUACUCUGACUGCUACAAUGAAGUCUUCAACUUUGGGGAUGAACAAGCAGAUAACUAUUUUGGGACUACAGCUGAAGAGCAUCCGGGUUGGUCAGGAUACUACGCCACUGCUUCUCUCCUCUUUCGAAACUGCUCUGAGCUCUUCAGGCCUCAGAUUUUCUAUAAAGAAUUUGUUCAUCCAGAGCCUCUCUCACCUGAGAAACCAGAG